rnacentral:lncRNA from 1 species
GGCCCCUGCCGUGGCCACAAGCGCAUGCCAGCGGGAUGCCCUCGCCCCGACCCCGUGUGAGCUCCGCAGCUGCUUGCCCUGGAUGAGGGGGUCUUCCCGUCGCCCUCUGUGGUGGUUGGAUGUUUGGUGGAUGUCUACUAAGGCCUCUAAGAAGUCGGCUCUCAAGCAGGAGAAGAAAGCGUCCCCAUCCUCACCCACCCUGCUUGCUGGAGGGAUAUGGAAAAUGAAAUCCUACCUAUCCACGUUCGUCCCUCUUAAUUCUGUGACCAUGAUAGCUUGAGUUGCCACCCUGCAUACAUAAGUACUGAAAGGCGAGACGGUAAACUCAACUGUGGCUCCCAGAAGCUGUUAUAAACGAUGAACGCUGAGCCUCUUGCUAGUGUAAACAUCUUUGAGAAACAGCUCUGAGGGGUGUGUGUAGCUAAGGUCUGGGGCAACCUCUGCCCCGCCUUCAGUUUCACUCAUUUCUGUGGGCUUCCAUCAGCCUGUCUUCUGCAGGCCUGGCUUUUUCUCAUAUAGUUCAGUCCAAUUUGCUUCAUCUUGAUAACUCACCCCAGUCACCACCA